ensembl:lncRNA novel transcript
AGGUGACAAGCUGCACACAGGGCCAUACAGGCAUCCAGGGCAGCCCCUGCACCCAGCUACCUUUCUGCUGGAAGGCCGUUUUCACAAGGCAGCCGGAAGCACUCCCGGGUAAUCUCGUCUGGAGAUGACUGCAUUUCAUUAUAAUUUAAGCCUUUCUUGGGCUUCAUCAAAGGCUAUGAGUGUCUUGAAAAAGAGAAGCAUCUCUUUCCUCAGAAAAAUGGCUGAACUUGUUAAGCCAGAGAUCAAACACCCCAGCGGGCUGAGUGCGGACAAGGGAACACGGCUUUAACAUCUGCUGCUCUCUUUCUGUGCGACACAGAGGGCUCCCCACAGAGAGGAAGGGCAGGGAGGUGGAGGCGGGGUGUGGUUCUGCGGGUGUCCCAGGCUGAGUGCUGUACCAUGUGGCUCACUGAGUCACAUCCUCACACAAACCUUCGGAGAGAAGUCCGUUAUUCUUCUCAUUUUACCCAUCGGGAAGCUGAAAUUCCAGAAACAGUAAGUCACUUGUCCAAGAACACCCGGACCGGAAGGGCACGUUUCCAUGUCUGCAUCUCAAAAUGAGCAGAUAAUGUCAGAAAUGAAUUAGAGGACACCCAUCUAUUUUCCCCUGGAGAACUGGUCGUUAGUGAGGAGAAACCCACACACAUUUUGGUGAGCAGAAGUGAAGUGCUCUGUAGUGAGUGGUGUGUGAGUAGGAAAAGCAAUGUGGGUUUUCCUAUCUGUUAUGAUAACAAUCAUAGGCAUCGAUAGAGUCCUGCAUGGUAUGAUGAGAUGCAGGGACAAUAAGAGCUCUGCAUGGUAUGCUGAGAUGCACGGUACGCUGAGAUGCAUGGUACGAUGAGAGCCCUACAUGGUAUGCUGAGAUGCAUGGUAUGAUGAGAUGCAAGGACGAUGAGAGCUCUGUAUGGUACGCUGAGAUGCACGGUACGCUGAGAUGCACGGUACGCUGAGAUGCAUGGUACGAUGAGAGCCCUACAUGGUAUGCUGAGAUGCACGGUAUGAUGAGCUGCAAGGACGAUGAGAGCUCUGUAUGGUAUGCUGAGAUGAACGGUACGCUGAAAUGUAUGGUACGCUGAGAUGCAUGGUACGAUGAGAGCCCUGCAUGGUAUGCUGAGAUGCAUGGUAUGCUGAGAUGCAUGGUACGAUGAGAGCCAUGCAUGAUAUGCUGAGAUGCAUGGUAUGCUGAGAUGCAGGGACGAUGAGAGCUCUGCAUGGUGCGCUGAGAUGCACGGUACGCUGAGAUGCAUGGUAUGAUGAGAUGCAUGGUAUGAAGAGAUGCAGGGACAAUGAGAGCCCUGUACGGUACAAUGAGAUGCAGGGAUGCAGGGCAUUAACAAAAUGCAAAUGCAAAUGCAAAUGCAAAUUCCUGCGUGUGACGUGCACAAUGAAACCAGGAGUGUGGAAGGAAACCACCAGGGCAGCCCAAGGAUGGCAAGUGACAUUGGACCCUUGGUGCCUGGGAAGCAAUAGGAACUGGGAUGAACCAGAAGACCUGCCUUGUCUCCAGCUGGAGCCCCCACUUGGAAGGAGCCUGCUACUGCUAUGUAGGAACUGCAGGCCCAGAUCAUCUAAUACUUCAAAAGAAGCUAAUGAUCUUGACUUGUAACAUGACAUUCCUGAUUACUGGUUCAACGUGUUGUAACACCACCAGUGAGCUUAACAAAAAUCUGAGGUUUCUGGCUCAUGGGCUUCCUGUUUAUAAGACCUGUAUUGAAAAUGGUUUUCAACCUUUCCUCUUGUGGACCCUUUGAAAAUGCAAUGAAUACAAGUCAAAAGAAAAGGCCCGGUGUGAGAAGAUAUUUGCAAUUCAUAUAACUGCCAAGGAUUGAUUUCUAGAAUAUAUUAAAAUGAAACCCAGCAAAAAACACUUUAUGAAUCAAUAAAUUAAAAACAAUACAACCCAAUAGAAAAAUGGGUAAUAGACUUGAACUGUACUUUAUA